ensembl:lncRNA CBR3-AS1 CBR3 antisense RNA 1
GUCUCUACUAAAAUUACAAAAAUUAGCCAGGCAUGAUGGCAGAUGCCUGGUAAUCCCAGCUACUCAGGAGGCUGAGGCAGGAGAACAGCUUGAACCCAGGUGGCAGAGGUUGCAGUGAGCUGAGAUCAUGCCACUGCACUCCAGCCUGGGCAACAAGAGCGAGACUCCGUCUCAAAAAAAAAAAGAACAGAAAUAAUCAAACCACAGCAUCAAUUCAUUCAUUCAUUCCACCAACAUUUAUUAAGCAGCAAGCUCCGAAGCAGACGUUUACCAGUUUUGCACAACUUUGUCAUGGACCAACUGGCCUUGUGGCUCAGUGGCAUCUGGAGGCAAGAGGGCCAAGUAGACAGGGGUCUCAGCCCCCUCCUCCACAGUCCUGAUGCUGUCUUUCCCAUCCAUGUCUGUCUUCACUGGUCCUGGGCAGCACGCAUUCACCAGAAUCCUGUCAGCUUUCCUCUUCUCAUCCAGACGCCUGGCCAGGAUCCUCGAUAAGACCGUGACCCCCAACUUGGACACCCCAUAAGGUUCCCAGAUGAUGUGACAGCUACUGGUCUCCAGCCACACCUUGAGAACACUUGGCUUUGACUACCACUUCUUAAACUUAAAGGAAAACUAGACAAUCCACCAGCCCAGGAGGGGACAAGCAGGCUUAUUCCUCCUCCUCGUCAUCUCUGGCUCCAGCCCCACCCUGGCCCUUGCUGGCAUUCUUCCUCUUCACGUGGCUGGGGUUGGCCACCCCAAUAGGGAAGCAGAGGGAGAAGUCAAUGUGCUUCUGGGAAUCCAGGCGGACAGUGAAGAACAGGAUAUUUACCACCUGCUCACGGACACGGAUAUGACACUGUUGAAUCAGCACAUGAGCGUGGCGGAUGGACUUAGCCAAGCCAAGCUUGAAGACCUGGGUCUGUAGGAAUCUCUAAGAAAUCAUUGAUCUUCAGGCCCAGGAUGUAAUCCAGCUUCAUCUUGCCCUCAUCCAGCACCCCAGUGCGGACCAGCCACUGCAGCAGGGCAAUGCCUUCGAACAGACGCCGUGGGUCCUUCUCAUCAAGCGUCAGCAGCUCCCGGGCGGCCUUAUGGAUCUUGACCAGGGUAAAUUUGACCCUCCAGACCUCACAUUUGUUCUGGAGCCCAUACUCACCAAUCAGCUUUAGCUUUUGGUCGAGAUGAGGUUUCUCGAAGGGUCUCUGCAGGGUCACAUAAGUUUGGCAACAAACCCAGCUCUGGGCCGCUGGCAUGUUGGCUCCACUUGCCCGUCUAUGCCUAAGCACAGGCCCUGGUCACUGAGAAAGAGCUCAAAUUUUUUAUAUAUUUCAUCUAAGGUGUUGAUUCUAUUGAUACCCUUAUCCUUUUAACAUGCCCUUAUCCUUUUAAUGUUGGUAAUGAUGCUACCUGUCAUUUCUGAGACUGGUUUGUGUCUUUCGUGUUUUUUUCUGAUCUGUCUGGCUAGAGGUUUACCAAUUGAUUUGAUUUUCCUCAAACUUCUGGUUACAAUGAUUCUCUCUCUCUCUCUUUUCCUGAUUAUAUUAAUUUCUGUUCUGAUCUUUGUUUCCUUUCUUCUGCUUACUGGAUUUUAUUUGCUCUUUUUCUGGUUUCUUACUGUAAAGGCAGAAGUCAUUGAUUUGCAUUGAUUUGAGACUUCUUUUCUAAUGUAGGCAGUAAGUGGUGUAAAUUCCCUUUUAGUAUGACUUUAGUGGCAUCUCACAUUGAUAUGUUUUCAAUUUCAUUCAGUUUAUUUUUAUUUAUUUUUUAAAUUAUUUAUUUAUUUAUUUAUUUUGAGUUGUGUAGCCCUUUAUUAGCAACUAAAAUAGAAGGUAUCUGUUGUACAACAUGGGUAGUAAUUGACUAUAACUGGAGAUUUAUUAU